rnacentral:piRNA from 1 species
UACGCGUAAAUUCGUCAAUAA